ACGGGGGUUGCAAGCGUUGUCCGGAAUUACUAGGCGUAAAGGGCAGGUAGGCGGAUCCAUAAGUUUUUUGUUAAAGGCAACGGCUUACCCGUUGUAAGGCAGGAGAUACUGUGGAUCUGGAAUGCGGUUGGGGAAGACAGAAUUCCUGGUGUAGCGGUGGAAUGCGCAGAGAUCAGGAGGAAUACCGAAAGCGAAGGCAGUCUUCUAAGCCGUCAUUGACGCUAAACUGCGAAGGUGUGGGUAUCAAACAG
rnacentral:rRNA from 1 species